rnacentral:sRNA from 1 species
UGUUUCUUGAAGCUCCAUUGUAGGCUUACAAAACAACGUUGUUUUCUUAACGGUGUGGGUGAUUAGUUGGGUAAAUCAUGUUAGCGGUACAGUAAACGCGGCUCUGAAAGUACAUGAUGCAAUUUUAAGAAUUAUCAUUUUUUAUGGUGGAAAUUUCAGGAGCAGAAAGUAUGGGGGAAAAGCUGAGAAUGCAAUUAGUUUAUGGCUAUUAAAUCUGCCAACCCUUUUCUUAACGGAUAUAGGUGAUUAAUUGGGUAAAUCGCAAUCGCGGUACAGUAAACGCAGACUUAUGGUUAAUCCUGGUUUAAUGACCGGCUCAAUUGGAAAUGUAUUUUUAAGGAUGAAUCUGAAAGUACAUGUUGUAAUUUAAAGAAUUAUCAAAGUUUAUGGUGAAAAUUUUAGGAGCAAAAAGUAUAGGAAGAAAAGCUGAGAAUGCAAUUAGUUUAUGGGUAUAAAAUCAGUCAACCCUAGAAUUAAUAUAACAAUGUAGUUAUGGUGAUAAUGUUAACAAGUUGGUGCACAAAAAAAU